CGCGGGGUGGAGCAGUUGGUAGCUCGUCAGGCUCAUAAUCUGAAGGUCGAGGGUUCGAGUCCCUCCCCCGCAACCA
rnacentral:tRNA from 1 species